UAACAUUUUAUUUGAUGUCACCGUUGGUUUUAAAAAAAGUGUAACUGAAAAGUGAAAUGUUUGAGCGGCUAGAAUGAAAACAAGCGGGCGGGAGAUUGAGAAAUAUAUAAUUAAACACAAAAUAUGUCGGGGAAAUAAUACACAGUUGUGCCUUGUCCUAAAUCUAAACUAACUAAAAACAAAAUUCAAACUCAAACACAAACUUCAGCUCCUCUCUCAUUUCACUCACCACAACCCAACUCCCUCACCUUACCUCUCGACCCCGCCUCAAACUCAAACACCCACCUCAAACUCACCUCCAUCAUCUCUCUAAAAAUCGCCCACCCACGCACUCAACACAACUCGCCCAUUCUCCAAACACAUUCAAUCGGGCCUACAUUCGGAUCUACAAUCAGGGUUUGCACACUCACACGGAACUUCACUCUCAAUAGGGUUGCAAUUAGGUCUGGAAUCGAGUCUUCAAUUCGGGUUUUCAUUUGGGUUUUCUAUAGGGUCUUGUAUCGGGUCUAAAAGACGCAAGCGGGUUUCAAUUACGGGUGUUUCAAACUCUCCAUCGGGCAUCUGCGUUGGGAUUUUGGGGCUUUUGUCAGGGUCUUCUGAUUAGGGUUUUUGGUGUUUCUCAUUUUAGGGAUUCUGUUAGGCCUAUCUCAAUUAGGUAUUGUGGUUUAUUUAUAUUCUCAAUCAGGGAGAAAAAUGCAAAUUUACUCAUCAUACAAUACCAUUGACAAUGUCUAAGGCUUAUCUCCGCGAGCUAAGAACACAAGGAAUCAUGUAAAGGAACUACCUCAAAAAAUUUCUUAUUUUUGGAUUCUUCGGAUGUUUUCGGCGGUUUCUUGAGAACAAGUUUCUCUUCUUGUACUUUCUCAGGUUCUUGAAAACUUUUUAGCUUCUGUACAGACCAAAUAGAGUGUGCUGUGUUAUUAACAUAUAAGUUAAGAAAUUCAGACUGAGUUGAAAGAAUUUGGAAUUAUGCAAAUGAACUACUACCUCAAUAAAUUUUUGAUUCUUUGAUCCUUGAACUGUUUCUUGUUGUUUCUUGAGAACAGGUGUCUCUGUUUCUUUCUUGAGAGCAGGUGUGUCUUCCAAACAACAGUGUGAUCAAUGAGCUGCAUUGCCGUAGCAGCCAGACAGCCACUGCAGUAUUGCAUAAAAGGACAAAUCGUUAAAGCACAGAAACACAGUCAUAGACAGGUUGCGAAUAUUCUUACCAAACGCUCAACCUCCACAGGUUGCGAAGGCAGUCUUUUAUUUUGGCUAAUAACGGAGGAAGGUGACAUGAAUUAAGUUAGGGUGGCUGUCAAUAUACGUCGAAGAUUGUUUCUCCAGCUCUAGCAUUUGCUUGCCCCUGUUGGAUAAGCUAGUUCCAGAUGACAAACUCCGACCCUCCUUUGGUUGAACAAGCAUACUUGCUAGUUGAUAGUGAACUUAUUUUGCCCCAAAAGGAGGAAAUUGUAGAGGACCUAAGUUAGUUUUAGUUUAUGUCCUAGUACUUAUAUUGGUGUGUUUGCUGGUUUGUAUAGGCUUGUACCUUUGUUUUUGGUAUUUUGAUUGUGUUUGUUGCUGAAUAUUGUUUGGUAACUUUGAAAUGGGAA